rnacentral:rRNA from 1 species
UGUGUGUUAGUGGAAGCGUCUGGAAAGGCGCGCGAUACAGGGUGACAGCCCCGUACACAAAAAUGCACAUACUGUGAGCUCGAUGAGUAGGGCGGGACACGUGGUAUCCUGUCUGAAUAUGGGGGGACCAUCCUCCAAGGCUAAAUACUCCUGACUGACCGAUAGUGAACCAGUACCGUGAGGGAAAGGCGAAAAGAACCCCGGCGAGGGGAGUGAAAAAGAACCUGAAACCGUGUACGUACAAGCAGUGGGAGCCUCUUAAUGGGGUGACUGCGUACCUUUUGUAUAAUGGGUCAGCGACUUAUAUUCUGUAGCAAGGUUAACCGAAUAGGGGAGCCGAAGGGAAACCGAGUCUUAACUGGGCGUUAAGUUGCAGGGUAUAGACCCGAAACCCGGUGAUCUAGCCAUGGGCAGGUUGAAGGUUGGGUAACACUAACUGGAGGACCGAACCGACUAAUGUUGAAAAAUUAGCGGAUGACUUGUGGCUGGGGGUGAAAGGCCAAUCAAACCGGGAGAUAGCUGGUUCUCCCCGAAAGCUAUUUAGGUAGCGCCUCGUGAAUUCAUCUCCGGGGGUAGAGCACUGUUUCGGCAAGGGGGUCAUCCCGACUUACCAACCCGAUGCAAACUGCGAAUACCGGAGAAUGUUAUCACGGGAGACACACGGCGGGUGCUAACGUCCGUCGUGAAGAGGGAAACAACCCAGACCGCCAGCUAAGGUCCCAAAGUCAUGGUUAAGUGGGAAACGAUGUGGGAAGGCCCAGACAGCCAGGAUGUUGGCUUAGAAGCAGCCAUCAUUUAAAGAAAGCGUAAUAGCUCACUGGUCGAGUCGGCCUGCGCGGAAGAUGUAACGGGGCUAAACCAUG